CGUCAAAGAUUCCUUUGAUUUUGCUUCAUAUUUGAGACGCCCAAUGUUGUCAGUACAUAUAAUUGCUUUGGGAUUUAGAUAAAGGUUUAGAGAUUAUUGUGUAUAGAGGGGAGUAAUAACUACGGUCAUUAGACAUAGUUACUUUGGGUCAACUUUUUGGGGUAAGAUUUGGGUAAAAUUAGCGAUACACGUUUUAUAGAUGUGACAUAGUUCUAGACAUCAAUUGCUUCAGUUUGCUUGGCUUACUGUCAACCAAGGUUAAUUUCUGGUGGCUUGCUAGGUCACGUGUACAUGUAGUUGUUAAUGAGGAAAUAAUUCACGGACACAAUUCCAUCAGUUUGGGGAUCAAAUCAGUCAGUUUAAUUCAUUUAGUUUUCAUUGUAAUUGAUUCAUAUGUGCCCAAGUGUAUUUUGGCAUGAUUCUAGAGACUUACUGUAUUUUCUGGUUUGUAUUACUUGCAGAUUGAACCGUACGUACAUACGUAGUCAUAGUUGGUACUGGUACAAUACAAGGGUGAACAGUAAUUCGUCAUCAAGGGAGUUCUUUUUGUCGUCAUCCGUCACUCAGACCAAGGGACAAACUUUGAGUCGGCUGUCUUUGCUGAGAUGUGUCGGGUUUUGGGCAUAUCCAAAAGUCGAACUAAAGCGCACAACCCAAAGUCCGAUGGACUGGUUGAGCGAUUCAAUAAGACUUUGACCAACAUGGUUGCUGUGAUGAUUGAACCAAAGAGGAAACAACGUGACUGGGAUGAGUGUCUGCCAUAUCGUCGAUCGCACCACGAUCCGGCGUAUCCUCGUUUUUUGGGCAAAGUGACAUUUUGCUACAUUAAUGAAAAUAUGAUUGAAAUGAAUGAUUUAACCCAAUUACAAGCUUGUCAGGUCUUUAAUUAAAGAAUUAUAGAAACUAACAAAAAAGUCAUUUGCGGAAAAAUCAGCCACAUUAUUUUCACGAACCGUCGCAUAAGUUCACAUCUCAAUGCCAAUCUAAGAAAAAGAAAACGAUCGUCUAACAAAGAGACGUAUCCCGAUACGUCUCGUGCAGAAAACAAAACAAGCCACUUUUAUUGUGCGCCCUCUGUCAAAAUACGACGUUUAGCUCACGUUGAACCUCGUACACAGAGUCGAACAAUAAUGGUACGGUACGGCCUAGUAAGCCUAUGCUUAGUUUUGCUUAGUACGAGGGUGAGAAGUUGACUCUGGUUUUACCGUGGUUGACCAGGCCUGGCUUCGCGGCGAAAUGGCUGAAAACAGCACCUUGCCCCCCAAAAAGGCAGCUUUAAACAGCAGAGGUCAUGUGAUGUUUUGAUAGAAUGGACUGACAGAUCAGGAAAUGUUGUAUCAUCCAAGGAUUUGUCAUUCAAUAAACCACUACGUCACAAUCAGCAUGUGCGGAUGAAGUGGGGGAAAACCUGGUGGAGGGGCAAGGUGCUCAAUUUUGAGCAAGGAGGAUGUAACGAAUCAUCUGAGGGAUCAUCUGAGGAAUCAGGGAACUCAGAAGACUCUAAGGAUGACUCCGACAGUGACUUGGAUGAUGUGCCACUGACACAGCUGAAGUCAUUAACUGCAUCCAAACCCAGUUAUUGUCCCAUGACACACCAUUAUUUGUCCUCAAUGCUAUUGAUUAAAUUUCAAAAAUAUGAUAGCGCACCUGUUGUAUGUGUGGUUGGCAAAUUGCCUAACUUCUUGUAAUGUUUUUAUACCCACAAAUUUUCUUGUCACUUGCAGAACCGUUUGAUGGAUCCUGGGGUAUUAAAGCUUCAGAGGAUAACAUGGACGAUGUAUGAUCAGCACAGCUUCAGACAAGUCUGGUUUCUAAUAAAAGUGAGUGACACUGAAAUGGGUUUUGUUUUGAUGUACUUGAAGUUUAUUCCAUGAAUACAUAGCAAGCAAAGGGUAGAUGAAGAUCCCAUAUGUAUUGAGGACAAAAAAUUCAAAACAAAUCGUGUAUAGGGAAACUGACUAGGUGCUGGUAAAUCAACUUGAACACAGGAAAGAUGUGCAAAGAAACUUGAUGAGAGCUGGAAUUUAACCUGCGACCUCUGCUUUACUGUACCGGCACUCUACUACUGAGAUCAGUUAGUAGGGCGCUGGUACAUUUAUUUAGAUGUCACAGGUUUGAGUCCCACUCUAUUCAAUGUUAUUUGCACAUCUUUCAUAUAGACACUUUUUUAGAUUGAUAUUGUUCCAUAUUCUUACAACUAGCAUUUUCCUGACCAUUUGACUUUAGUUAUUGAUGGAGAAAGUCUGUUCAUCACCCCCGUGAUGGAAUCACACUUUUGCAGGGCCAACACAGGUUAUCAGUAUCUAUCUGUCACCAGACUUGAACAUAAGUAAAAUGUACAGGUUGUAUCUAAAUGAGCAUCAUAACAGUAGCAGAAAAGCUUCUCUAGGCUUCUACUCAAAAAUCUUCAAAAAGAUGAAACUAAAGUUUCACACACCAAAAAAAAAAGAUCUGUGCGGUGUAUGUGAGGCAUACAGAAAAGGGUCAGAGGAAGAAAGAAAACGAAUAGGUUUCGAGUAUGAAAAACAUAUCCAAGAAAAAUCCAAAUCUCGAGAACUGAAAGAUGAGAUGAAGAAGAAUGCAAUAGCAAAUCCUAAUACGUUUGUCGCAUCGGUGUUUGAUUUGGAACAGGUUUUGUGUUUGCCUAAAUCAGGCAGAGGGGAGUUGUUUUACAAACGUAGGCUAUCAUGUUACAAUUUCACCAUUUGCUUGGUGAUGUCAUAAUUUCUUGAAGUCCAGUCACAGUUCUGUAAACCAGGUUCAAAAAUUAAAUUGAAUGCAUGUAUUAUUAUGUAGUCAAUGUUACACAUACCGCCUUUUAUUAUCUUGUUGGCCUAAUCACUCAUGAAGAUUUACAUUUUAAUGGGCUUGCAGGGGCAAUAAAAAGCUGUUUAUUAUA
rnacentral:lncRNA from 1 species